rnacentral:rRNA from 1 species
AUAAUUCUAACGGCGUAAAGCACGACCAAAAACAAGUAUAAACAUUAGGAACGAAACCUAACUAGGCUGUAAAAAGCCAUAAGUCACCAUAACCACCCCCUAAUAACAAACUAUUUCCACUCGUGAAAGCUGGGACACAAACUAAGAUUAGAUACCUUACUAUGCCCAACCAUAACACAACAAUCAAACUACCAAUUGUUCGCCAAAUAACUACGAGUAAAAACUUAAAAUUUAAAAGACUUGACGGUGCCUCAAAACAACCUAGAGGAGCCUGUCUAAUAACCGAUACUCCACGAUUAACCCAACCCCGCCUAGCCUAACAGUCUAUAUACCGCCGUCGCCAGCCUACCUUGUGAAAGAAACAAAGUGAGCUAAAUAGCUAUACACUAGCACGACAGGUCGAGGUGUAACUAAUGGCAGGGACAAAGAUGGGCUACAUUUUCUAAUACAGAAAACACGAAUAAUCUAUGAAAUAAGAAACUGAAGGCGGAUUUAGCAGUACAGUGGGAACAACACACCCAAUCGAAACUUAAUGCAAUGAGGUGCGCACACACCGCCCGUCAUCCCUGCCAACAAAAUAUGAAUAUACAUAAA